AGCAAAAUGAUGAUGCAAUUUGCUAUGAAUUUUAUGUGGAGAAACAUAAUAGUCUUUGAAGUUCUUAUGCUUUGCU